rnacentral:rRNA from 1 species
UACGGGGGGGGCAAGCGUUGUUCGGAAUUACUGGGCGUAAAGGGCUCGUAGGUGGCCAACUAAGUCAGACGUGAAAUCCCUCGGCUUAACCGGGGAACUGCGUCUGAUACUGGAUGGCUUGAGUUUGGGAGAGGGAUGCGGAAUUCCAGGUGUAGCGGUGAAAUGCGUAGAUAUGCGGAGGAACACCGAUGGCGAAGGCAAUCCCCUGGGCCUGCACUGACGCUCAUGCACGAAAGCGUGGGGAGCAAACAGG